AUGGAGAAAUCAAUUAUUCUAUUGCUCUGGGUACAAUAUGUUGUUAAGAUCUCAAAAAGUUUCUGUUUUAUGAAUAAUCGAACAACAGUUGUUAUUGAAUGGGAUGAAUUUCCUAAGGGAAAAAGUCCUGAAUUUUAUUUUUUAAAAUACCAACUUGUUAAUAAUUUUGCUGAAAAAACUAUCAAAAGCAUUUUUAUAAACUCACAAGAGCUUUCAAAAGCAAUAACAAUAGAAGAAAAUGAAGACUAUCACAUUAUUCUACAGUCCAUAAAAUAUGGACAAAUUUUAAGUGAAAAGUCAUUUAAAACCCGUGGUUUCUCAACUAGCAAUAUUAAAACAGUAGCAACAAGCACGAGUGUUUCUUUUAACUGGAGUGUGCUGUCUUCCAAUGACAUUUCAGUGUCAAUAUCUCUCAAUAACUCUUUACAAGUUAUGCAAAAUAAUGUUACAGUUUAUGAGUGGGAUAAUUUAAAACCUGCAACCUUAUAUACUUUUGAAUUUGAACUUAAACAGUUGCAUUUGGAUUUUAUAAAUACAUUUCAGAGACUGGAUGUUCAAGUAGAAACAGGCUCAUGUUCACCAGGAUGGAUAGCAUUGAGAAAUAGCUGUUACAAAAUUAGCAAAGAGAGUAAGCCAUGGAAUAUAGCCCAGCGACACUGUAGAUUAUCCUUAAGUUCUGCACACCUUGUGGAUAUAAAAAAUGAAGAGGAAAAAAAAUUUGUAUCUUUACUUCUCAGGUCAAAGAAUCAAAUAAUAAUAUGGACUGGUCUUAAUGAUUUGAAGAAAGAAGGUCAUCUCACGUGGACAGAUGGAUCAUCUUUUGGCCUUAAGAAGAAUGAAAUCUUUUCUUUUCCACUGCUACCCAAGAAUGAAACAGAUUGCUAUGUUUUACAGCAAAAUGCAACUGGAUCAAACUAUUUCUUCACAAGAUUUUUCUGUUAUGUUCCAUUGCCGUAUAUUUGCAGAUAUGACUGCCCGUUAUCAGCUCAAAAUAUCACAGUUACACAUGUGACCCCAACAGAAAUAUUUUUACACUGGAAUCCUCCAGAUCUUGCAUCUUUUCACCAUUAUCUUGUGACUAUUUUGAAUGUGGAAAACAAUAAAUCAGAAGAGAUGUUUGUUGAAAAACUCAACACAUCAGUGAAAAUCGGAGAUCUCAAACCUUUCCAUCAUUAUCUGAUAUAUUUAUUCAGUGUAGGGGAAAGAGGAACUUUAGGAUGCUCUGAGAGACCUAUUUCAGCCAUUACAGGUAUUAAUCCUCCUCAGAAAGUUCAUGCUAACCCUGAAGAUGUAGGAGAGGACAGUAUAAUUCUUCAGUGGGAAUCCCCACAAGAUGGCCACGAGGUCUAUAUUCAAAUCAGACCUGUAUCGGAUACAAGAGAAGUCAUGAAGCUUUUUGUAAAGGAGGCUAAUAGAUUCAAGUUUGAUAAUUUAACCCCUGGAAUGACAUAUGACAUUGGAAUGGCAACAGUGAUGAAUGGGAACUUGAGUGAGCUGGUAACUAUUCAACAAACUCUAAAGCCCAAGCCAGUCCAGAUUGUCAUCCCAUAUGAAAGUCAUAGCACCUCUGUAAUCUUAUUUGUUCAAAUGCCUGAUAUUGGAGUGUUUGAUGGCAUACAUAUUGCAAUCGAAGGAGGGCCAAAUGUAACUAAGCCCUUGAAACAUGACAAUAAAAUAACUGUUGGCAAUUUAACCCCAGGCACGGAGUAUAAUUUCUUUGUUUCCAUCACCAGUGGGACUAAAUUAAGUAAUAUGUAUUACGUGCCUGCAGUAAAAACAUGUAAGUGUUUGGGACUUACAUAA
rnacentral:lncRNA from 12 species